GGACCUCCAGUUCAAGGAGCUGGAUAUCUACCAGACCACCCUGAACACCCACGAAAUCAGCCUGAGAUGUAAGAAGAUAGAUCUGGAUCUGUACAAACAGAAUAUCGCAGGCGGUUGGUUUCGAGACAGAGAGAGAGAGUGAGUGAGAGAGAGAGAGAGAACGAGUGGGGAGAAGCAGAAGGAGAAGCAGACUCCCCGCUGAGCGAGGAGCCCCACGCGAGACUCGAUCCCAGGACCCUGAGAUCAUGACCUGAGCGGAAGGCAGACGCGUAACCGACUGAGCCACCCGGGCGCCCCUCCACCACACUUCAUACUAAAUCUCCACAGGAACCCAGUGGGUCAGUGUGCGUUCGCACGCACACGUGUACAUAACACAAACCGACCCAGAAAGAUAGCGACCUAGCUGAUUCAUAAAGAUUCUUAGCAGCCGUGCGGUCAGCAUCGUAAGGCUUCAGUCCCUUACCCCGACGGUCCGAAAUGGCUUCCUUAUGCCCGGAGCUAGCGCAGGGCCGGGCAUGGAGAGCUUCCAGGGUAAGUCACAGCACAGCGGUGCCCUGCUCCUUUUGGAGACCGGGUGGGCUCCCUAAAAUGUCUUCCUAAGCCCUGGCCCUAGCCAGGACCCCUGUGAUUGCUCAGCAGGCCAGCCAGUGAAAGGCUCCCGGCCGCAGCGGAGGGUGGGUUCCUCCACCGGUGACCCUUCCUGCACCUUCAGCGUCUCUGCUUGCGGAGCUCCGAGGCCAGGAGAGAAGCCACCAGGAGUUGUUUUUGGAUGUGGCCAGCCUAGUUUCCCACUGAGUGUCUGCUAGAAGAGCAUCUUAGAAGUGUCUUAAGAACUCUGCUCUCAUAGCUGCGGUUCACUGGAGUGUGGACACUGUUUUAAAGUAAGAAAGUCGCGGUGGGGCUCUGUCUGGGGGCCCCCUCCAGCCAUCUGACUCCCAGCAGCCCCACCAGCCGUAGGAUUCAAAUCACCUCCUCCUCUAUCUUCCCCAUUCUCUUCCUCCCUUUAUGAGUCUUUUUUCUCUUAGGAGUACUCUCUAAACACCUCAGCCAAGUUUUCAGGGUGUUUUCGAUUUUCUAUUUUUUUAAAAAUUAAGCUUUCUUAAUUAAGCGUAACGUGCAUACAGAAAACCACACAUGCCCUGAGGGUUCAGUUCAAAGAAUGUUCACAAAGCAAGCAGACGAGUGUAGCAAGCACUCAGAUGAGGAAACAGAAUAUGAGCAGCAUCCCAGAAACCGCCUCUGUGUCCCUUCCAGUCACUCCACUCCCACAAGAGUAACCCUCAAAUGACCUCUGUUACUGUACAUUGAUUUUGCUUAGUUUUCAGAUUGACUGAAAUGUACUCAUGCAACAGAAUCUCUGUGGGACUCACGUAUGUCGAGUGCGGAAUUGCUGAAGAGGACUCAAAUUUGUGGUUUUCUCUGAAAGAACCCUCAAAGAAUACCCAGCGCAAAGGACUUUUACAACCAGCGUUGAGUGUGGAUGAGAGAUCUGAGGGCCUCUGACCUUGUGAGCUGAGCGGAGCUCGAGGUGGAAGGUGAAGAGCUACCCAGUCCCUGCUCUGCUCUGAGAUGUGCUCCCAGGACAGUCCCAACUUCUGCUCUCUCUUAAUCCCUGGUUCGGUGAUUGGAAUGAUGACAGAUUAAAUAUCAGUUGUUUGCUUAGGCUGAUUCCACAGGCUGGGGCAGUUUCCACUUGUCUAGAAGACACGGAGGCCCAGAGUAAUCAGUUGCUUCUGGAGGCGAGCGGUGGUAAAUGUGCCUACACACCUCGAUUAAUCCUCUAGCAACCCCACCAAGUGGCCAGCAGGCGGAUUGCCGUGCCCACUGCGGACAGGAGGCAAUGAAGAGUCCGGAAUGCCAAGUGAAUUGUACAAGGUCACAGG